rnacentral:rRNA from 1 species
UGAGGAAUAUUGGUCAAUGGGUGCAAGCCUGAACCAGCCAUCCCGCGUGAAGGACGACUGCCCUAUGGGUUGUAAACUUCUUUUGUAUAGGGAUAAACCUACCCUCGUGAGGGUAGCUGAAGGUACUAUACGAAUAAGCACCGGCUAACUCCGUGCCAGCAGCCGCGGUAAUACGGAGGGUGCAAGCGUUAUCCGGAUUUAUUGGGUUUAAAGGGUCCGUAGGCGGACUUAUAAGUCAGUGGUGAAAGCCUGUCGCUUAACGAUAGAACUGCCAUUGAUACUGUAAGUCUUGAGUAUAUUUGAGGUAGCUGGAAUAAGUAGUGUAGCGGUGAAAUGAAUAGAUAUUACUUAGAACACCAAUUGCGAAGGCAGGUUACCAAGAUAUAACUGACGCUGAGGGACGAAAGCGUGGGGAGCGAACA